CAGAGGGUGCAAGCGUUACUCGGAAUUACUGGGCGUAAAGCGCGCGUAGGUGGUUUGUUAAGUUGGAUGUGAAAUCCCCGGGCUCAACCUGGGAACUGCAUUCAAAACUGACAAGCUAGAGUAUGGUAGAGGGUGGUGGAAUUUCCUGUGUAGCGGUGAAAUGCGUAGAUAUAGGAAGGAACACCAGUGGCGAAGGCGACCACCUGGACUGAUACUGACACUGAGGUGCGAAAGCGUGGGGAGCAAACAGG
rnacentral:rRNA from 1 species